AAACUUCCCAAUUUCUGCCUCAGAGUCUUUCACCAGGACUCAGUGCCAUUGAAAGCUUGGUAGAGAGUCACAUCAUUCCAUUCAAUGGUGGUGAUUUCAUUGUUCUUCAUCCCAGCAAAGGCAUAGAUGAGAAAUGCAGAUUGUGAAUGUGGAGUGUGAAGUCUACUACCUAUGGAAGACGUACCUGGUGAAAUUAUCCCAAAUUCACUCUACACACAACUACACACCCAUCCAGCCUCAC